rnacentral:rRNA from 1 species
AGCAAUCUACCUUGGAGUGGGGAAUAACACAGUGAAAACUGUGCUAAUACCGCAUAAUACAACUGUGUCGCAUGGCAGUGGUUGUCAAAGAUUUAUCGCUCUGAGAUGAGCUCGCGUCUGAUUAGCUUGUUGGCGGGGUAACGGCCCACCAAGGCGACGAUCAGUAGCCGGACUGAGAGGUUGGCCGGCCACAUUGGGACUGAGACACGGCCCAGACUCCUACGGGAGGCAGCAG